CCGUUAUCAAACGACCAAGGGAAGGAAUUGCAGCAGAUCGAACAGUUCUAAAAAUAAAGUACUGUUACAAAUGUGUACAUAAGUUCAUUAAUAAAAAUCUGUGAAGUUUAUAAAGACUAAUAUGGAACUACCUUCGCGCUUGCUAACCUAUCGGAAACAUGAGCUAUUACACAACCAAAUAGUGUUGCAGUUGCACAUCUUACAAUAGGUCUUUGGUGCACUACUCCUAUAAAAAAAUGGAGGAGAAUUACUAAACAUCUAAUAAAAAUAGAAAAUUCUACGUAAAAUGUCAGUGAGACUAACCAUCCCAUAAACCACUAAGGACAUACUCUUGCAUAUGCUCUUGGGAGCAUAAUAUAAUUAUUGCAAUUUGUAAACUAGUAAUACUGGUUCCACUCAUAGAUAAAGCAACAAGGAACUGUUUUAAAGAGUUAGAAACCUUGGUACCGUUUAAAGUGGACAAUAUAAUUAAAUAUGCUGGAAUUAAUGUUAAACUCAUAUUCUUUUUAUCUGUUGAUAAUGUCGUUAAUUGCUGUUCAAGUUCAGCUACCUCAGAUGCAAAUAUUGGUUGGAUCUAAAGAAAAAAAAAAAUAUCAGCCAUAAUUUCUACACAAAAUAUAAGGUUUAUUAAAAUAUUGAAAUUACCCGAGUUUCCGUAAUAUAUUGUCCAAAUCCCAAACACAGAGAAUGAAUAUACGUAAGAAGAGCAUUUAAAAUGGAUUCUUGUAAAAUAUCAAUGGAUUUUACCAUUGUCAAAAUUUCCACAACUCUGAAAAAUAUCAAUUGUCAGAUGAUAUUCCAUGAUCAAUAUAAGUUUUAACGAUCUCGGUAUCUGCUACGCAAAUAACUGUAUGGGGAAGUAAAUACUGUAAUACCGCAAUUGAUGAAACAAUUCUUCCUUCAUCGAUAUGAUCUUUAUUAGAGAGAGCGCCCAUUGAGCUAAAAUCGGUAAAAGUAUAGAAGAUGCGACUUCAACCACAAUAGGCGAUAUAUCGUGAAGUGCUGUUAAUGCUAAUUCUUCGCACUGUAAAAAUAAUAAUUAUUAAAAUAAUACAC